rnacentral:tRNA from 1 species
AAGAGAUUAGUUUAAAAAAAACCUUAAUAUGUCAAAUUAAAAUUACCUAAAAUGUAUUUCUUU